AUUGAACGCUGGCGGCAGGCCUAACACAUGCAAGUCGAACGAGUGGCGGACGGGUGAGUAAUGUCUGGGAAACUGCCUGAUGGAGGGGGAUAACUACUGGAAACGGUAGCUAAUACCGCAUACCAUCAGAUGUGCCCAGAUGGGAUUAGCUAGUCGGUGGGGUAAAGGCUCACCUAGGCGACGAUCCCUAGCUGGUCUGAGAGGAUGACCGGCAACAGUGGAACUGAGACACGGUCCAGACUCCGACGGGAGGCAUCAGUGGGGAAUAGUGCACAAUGGGCGCAAGCAUGAUGCAGCGAUGCCGCGUGUAUGAAGAAGGCGUUGGGGUUGUAAAGUACUUUCAGCGGGGAGGCGUUACCCGCAGAAGAAGCACCGGCUAACUCCGUGCCAGCCGCCGCGGUAAUAC
rnacentral:rRNA from 1 species